rnacentral:tRNA from 1 species
GCUCGAGUGGUGGAAUGGCAUACACGCACGACUCAAAAUCGUGUGGUCUCACGACCUUGUGGGUUCAAGUCCCACCUCGAGCA